rnacentral:rRNA from 1 species
AGUGAACGCUGGCGGCAGGCCUAACACAUGCAAGUCGAACGGUAGCACAGAGGAGCUUGCUCCUUGGGUGACGAGUGGCGGACGGGUGAGGAAUACAUCGGAAUCUACCCUGUCGUGGGGGAUAACGUAGGGAAACUUACGCUAAUACCGCAUACGAACUGAGGUUGAAAGCAGGGGACCGCAAGGCCUUGCGCGAUUGGAUGAGCCGAUGUCCGAUUAGCUAGUUGGUAAGGUAAAGGCUUACCAAGGCGACGAUCGGUAGCUGGUCUGAGAGGAUGAUCAGCCAAACUGGAACUGAGACACGGUCCAGACUCCUACGGGAGGCAGCGGUGGGGAAUAUUGGACAAUGGGCGCAAGCCUGAUCCAGCCAUGCCGCGUGUGUGAAGAAGGCCUUCGGGUUGUAAAGCACUUUUGUUGGGAAAGAAAAGCGGUCGGUUAAUACCCGGUCGUACUGACGGUACCCAAAGAAUAAGCACCGGCUAACUUCGUGCCAGCAGCCGCCGUAACAC